UGGAUUGCGACGAUUCCGGUUAGCGGAUGGCUCGGUUCGAGAAGCCUAUGAAGGACCUGGCAAGCUGGGAUAAGCUUGGGCGAGGCGCAUGCAGCCUUCGAGCCCAAGAUUUCCGAAUGCGAGUUAACGCGCACUGUUUCGGCAGUGCAUCGGGAGACCGAAGGUAACGCAGUGAAUUGAAACAUCUUAGUAGCUGCAGGAAAAGAAAUCAAUUGAGAUUCCCUUAGUAGCGGCGAGCGGAAGGGGAACAGCGUAAACUGAACGCAGCUCCGAGAGGAACUGUGGAUGUGGUUUUGGCCGUCUUUCUGGACUGAGCAGUUUAGUCGAAGUCUGCUGGAAAGCAGCACCAUAGAGAGUGAUAGUCUCGUAGACGCUUUACUGCAACGUCCUCCGACGUGCCACGAGUAUCCUGGGUUGGAAAUCCUGGGUAAAGAUGGGAGGCACUUUCCUUCCAACGCUAAAUACUUCUCGAGUCCGAUAGCGCACUAAGUACCGUGAGGGAAAGCUGAAAAGUACCCCUAGAAAGGGGGUGAAAAGAGCCUCAAACUAACCGGUUAUAGGCUAGAUAUGGCAUUCAAGCGUCGACGCCUGUGAAAGAAUCACUGGAGACGGUGUAGUAUGAAUCAGGUAGAGCAGUGUCAUAUCAUCCGUUUUGAAAAACGGGGCAGGGAGUAUAUCUCCGUGGCGAGGCUAACCACCGUUUCGGUGGGGAGUCACAGCGAAAGCAAGAAGCCCGCAGCGCUUUGCGUGAGGGGCCGCGUGUUAACGUGCGUGAAGUCACCGAGAUAUUAUCCGAAGCUGGUCGAUCCUGGCCUGGGCAGGUUGAAGCGGCGCGAAAGCUCCGUGGAGGACCGCAAGAGGUGCUGCGAUACAAGCGCUCUCGUGACCUGGGUCAAGGGGUGAAAUGUCAAUCGAGAUCAGCAAUGGCUGGUUCCUUUCGAAAUGGGCCGAAGUCCAGCCUCGAGCGAGGUAGUUGCACAGGUAGAGCGACUGAUUCCGAAUCCUGAAGGCUUUGCCUUCAGAGCGGAGUCAAACUCUGAACUGUGUAACGCUGUAGACCUUGGGAGUGAGGGACGGUGGGUAAGCUACCGUUCCGAGAGGGAAACAACCCAGAGCAAGGUUAAGGCCCCUAAUUCCUGACUAAGUGUCAUUGAAGGAUGUCGCGGUUCUCAGACAGUGGGGAGGUUAGCUUAGAAGCAGCUACCCUUUAAAGAUAGCGUAACAGCUCACCCAUUGAGAACUGUGGCGCCGUAAAUGGACGGGGCUUAAGUCAGGAGCCGAGACCUUGCCGAAGUUUUAUACUUUGGAUAGGAAGGCGAUCCGCGUGGGCGGAAGCGUGGACGUGAGUUCGUGUGGACCGCGUGGAUACGAAGAUCCUGCCGGCAGUAUCAGCGUAAACGGAGGUGUGAAUCCUCCUCGUCGCAAGGAUAAGGGUUCCUCUGCAAUGUUCGUCAGCAGAGGGUUAGUCGAUCCUAAACCAGUCCGUAAUUCGAGACUGGUGAAUAGGGAAACAGGUUAAUAUUCCUGUACCUCCUUACAUUAACUGACGAUUCUGGAUAAUGGCUGCUGCGCUUUCGCGCAGUCUAAACCGCUAAACCAGGCGAGCGUAAUGCUUCGACCUUGGUGAACCGGUGAAUUGGCCUGGGAAUAAUCCCGGGUUGCCAUGAUUCCUGGAUCCCAUGAAAAGGUGUAAGAGAUCGUACCCAGAACCAGCACAGGUAUCCUGGCUUAACAGGCUAAGACGUAUCGGGUUUAACGCAACUUAGGGAAUUCGGCAAUCUGGCCCCGUACCUUCGGUAUAUGGGGUGCCUAUCCUCUUGAUAGGAUAGGUCGCAGUGACUAGGGAAGCUCGACUGUUUACUAAAAACAUAGCCGACUGCUAGUCGGAAACGAUUCGUAUAGUCGGCGACUCUUGCCCAGUGCCAGUACCUGAAAUCUCCGUUCAAGGAGUCGAAGGGCUGGUAAACGGCGGCGGUAACUAUGACCGUCUUAAGGUAGCGUAGUCCCUUGCCAAUUAAUUGUUGGCCCGCAUUAAUAGGGAAACGAGGCUUCCGCUGUCCCAAGUUGUGGCCCGGUGAACCCGCCAUACCGGCGCAUAGGCCGGUGACUCCCGGUGGGAAGCGAAGACCCUUUGAACCUUUACUGCAGUCUAUCGUUGCUGCGGGGUUCCAAGUAUGAAGUGUAGGUAGGAGACGUUACAGAGACGCGUGCGCAAGCACGUCGCCCAGUUGACCAUGGGACACUACCUACUUGGAACCCUGCGGCUCGACCCUUACGAGGGGACAGCGUUAGCUGGGCAGUUUAACUGGGGCGGUAUCCAUCUGAUAACAUAUCAGAUGGGUCCAAAGGUAGGCUCAGUCCGGUCAGAAAUCGGACGUAGAGUACAAAGGCAAAAGCCUGCCUGACUGGUCUCUUGACAGCAGAGGGACCAGGCGCGAAAGCGUGGCUUAGCGAACGCCUACAGCCAAAUAGUGAGGCUUAGGCCUGACGAAAAAGGUACUCAAGGGAUAACUGGAUUGUCUGCGGCGCGAGUUCACAUCGACCCGCAGGCUUGUUACUUCGAUGUCGGCUCUCCGUAUCCUGGCUGUGCA
rnacentral:rRNA from 1 species